GAUGAACGCUGGCGGCGUGCCUAAUACAUGCAAGUCGAGCGAACAGAUAAGGAGCUUGCUCCUUUGACGUUAGCGGCGGACGGGUGAGUAACACGUGGGUAACCUACCUAUAAGACUGGGAUAACUUCGGGAAACCGGAGCUAAUACCGGAUAACAUUUGGAACCGCAUGGUUCUAAAGUGAAAGAUGGUUUUGCUAUCACUUAUAGAUGGACCCGCGCCGUAUUAGCUAGUUGGUAAGGUAACGGCUUACCAAGGCAACGAUACGUAGCCGACCUGAGAGGGUGACCGGCCACCCUGGAACUGGGAACAGGGCCAGACUCCCACGGGGGGGAAGAGGAGGGAAUUCUCCGGAAGGGGGGAAAGCCGUAAGGGGGAACGCCGGGGGGGGGAUGAAGGGUUUUGGGUUGUAAAACCUUUUUUUUAGGGAAAAAAAAAUGUGUAAGGAACUGGGCACGUUUUGACGGUACCUAAUCAAGAAGCCCCGGCUAACCACG
rnacentral:rRNA from 1 species